rnacentral:rRNA from 1 species
CCUACGGGGGGCUGCAGUGGGGAAUAUUGGACAAUGGGGGCAACCCUGAUCCAGCCAUGCCGCGUGUGUGAAGAAGGCCCUCGGGUUGUAAAGCACUUUCAGUGAGGAAGAACGCCUGGUGGUUAAUACCCAUCAGGAAAGACAUCACUCACAGAAGAAGCACCGGCUAACUCCGUGCCAGCAGCCGCGGUAAUACGGAGGGUGCGAGCGUUAAUCGGAAUUACUGGGCGUAAAGCGCGCGUAGGUGGCUUGAUAAGCCGGUUGUGAAAGCCCCGGGCUCAACCUGGGAACGGCAUCCGGAACUGUCAAGCUAGAGUACAGGAGAGGAAGGUAGAAUUCCCGGUGUAGCGGUGAAAUGCGUAGAGAUCGGGAGGAAUACCAGUGGCGAAGGCGGCCUUCUGGACUGACACUGACACUGAGGUGCGAAAGCGUGGGUAGCAAACAGGAUUAGAUACCCGAGUAGUC